CUUUAUGAACAAGUUAGGAAGAAGUGAAAGACCCCCAGAGCGGGGAGACCCUCACUCAAGUCUCGGGAUGAUGUGACCCGCCAAGAACUCACGUGAGACC
rnacentral:pre_miRNA from 14 species